UCCUCAAGCCAUGACAUGGUGUUCUUGGGCUAUGAAAAUGGUCCCUCCAAACAUUGACACCUUCGGAUAAUUUAGCGACCUUUAAGCCCAUGAGGUGCAAUAAUUGGCAAUCUUUCAACCCAUGCAAAUGUAAUAGGUGGCGAUCUUUCAGCCACACAAUGUGGAUAAAGUGGCGAUCUUUCAGCCAUCUAAAUGUAAUCGAAGUGGCGAUCUUUUAUGCCAUGCAAAAUUUAAAUAAGGUGGCGAUCUUUUAGCCAUGCAAAUGUAAAUAAGGUGGAGAUCUUUCAGCCAUGCAAAUGUAAAUAGUGAUUUUUCAGCCAUACAAAUGUAAAUAAGGUGGCGAUCUUUUAGCCGUGCAAAUGUAGUAGGUGGUGAUCUUUCAACAAUUCAAAUGUAAAUAAGGUGGCGAUCUUUCAGGCGUGAAAAUGUAGGUAAGGUGGCGAUCUUUCAGCCAUGCAAAUAUAAAAAAAGUGACGAUCUUUUAGCCAUGCAAAUGUAAAUAAGGUGGUA
rnacentral:lncRNA from 1 species